rnacentral:rRNA from 1 species
GCCUAACACAUGCAAGUCGAACGAAGUAGCAAUACUUAGUGGCAGACGGGUGAGUAACAUGUGGGUAUCUGCCCUUUGGCCUGGAAUAACACGAGGAAACUUGUGCUAAUACUGGAUAAGUCUUUACGGAGAAAGCUUUAUGCACCAUUGGAUGAGCCUGCACUUGAUUAGUUUGUUGGUGGGGUAAUGGCCUACCAAGACUGUGAUCAAUAGCUGAUUUGAGAGGAUGAUCAGCCACAUUGGGACUGAGACACGGCCCAAACUCCUACGGGAGGCAGCAGUGGGGAAUCUUGCACAAUGGAGGAAACUCUGAUGCAGCGAUGCCGCGUGAGUGAAGAAGGCCUUUGGGUUGUAAAGCUCUUUCGUCGGGGAAGAAAAUGACUGUACCCGAAUAAGAAGGUCCGGC